GGUCUUGGGACACUCCAGCAGUGCUCAUGUGACCACCCUAAGAGUGGAAAGGACAUCGGGGUUUCCAGAAGGGAGAGCAACACCCAGACACCAGCCUGGACAGAGGUUUCUGAGAUAAUCUCUUAUUUCUGGGAAAGUUCCAGAAAAAAGCUGAGAACUUAGGGUAGGAGUGUCCAGGUGUCUAAGGGGAGACACAGACUCAGAUGGAGGCUGAAUGACUCAGAAAAUCCUGAGUCAGGCCUCCAGGGAGGGUCUCAGCUUGAGAACCAGGGAGAGC